ensembl:lncRNA
UUAGCGGUUAGGGUUAGGGUUAGGUUUUAGGGUUAAGGUUAAGGUUAGGGUUAGGUUUUAGGGUCAAGGUUAGGGUUAGGUUUUAGGGUUAAGGUUAGGGUUAGGUUUUAGGGUCAAGGUUAGGGUUAGGUUUUAGGGUUAAGGUUAAGGUUAGGGUUAGGUUUUAGGGUUAAGGUUAAGGUUAGGGUUAGGUUUUAGGGUUAGGGUUAAGGUUAGGGUUAGGUUUUAGGGUUAGGGUUAGGUUUUAGGGUUAAGGUUAAGGUUAGGUUUUUAGGGUUAAGGUUAGGGUUAGGUUUUAGGGUUAGGGUUAGGUUUUAGGGUUAAGGUUAGGUUUUAGGGUUAGGUUUUAGGGUUAGGGUUAGGUUUUAGGUUUUAGGGUUAAGGUUAGGUUUUAGGGUUAAGGUUAAGGUUAGGGUUAGGUUUUAGGGUUAGGGUUAGGUUUUAGGUUUUAGGGUUAAGGUUAGGUUUUAGGGUUAAGGUUAGGUUUUUAAGGUUAAGGUUAGGGUA